rnacentral:rRNA from 1 species
UACGUAGGGUGCAAGCGUUGUCCGGAAUUAUUGGGCGUAAAGAGCUUGUAGGCGGUUUGUCGCGUCUGCCGUGAAAAUCCGAGGCUCAACCUCGGACUUGCGGUGGGUACGGGCAGACUAGAGUGUGGUAGGGGAGACUGGAAUUCCUGGUGUAGCGGUGAAAUGCGCAGAUAUCAGGAGGAACACCAGUGGCGAAGGCGGCGACCUGGACGGACACUGACGCUGAGACGCGAAAGCGUGGGGAGCAAACAGG